rnacentral:lncRNA from 1 species
GUGCCAUUCCCGCUGGCUCUGAGGAUGUGGGACAUCUAUAUCCUUGAGGGUGCACACGUGCUCACCACCAUGGCAUACACGGCCCUCAAGAUCCAUCACAGUGAAUCCUCAGGUCCCACAGAGGCCCGGGUGCUCGGGACGGAGGAGCUGGGGGUCCCCCUGCCUGUCCCUCAUGAGCAGGGCUUGAGGGAGGGAUGAGGGGGUUUGGGAGUCCUGGGUUCCCUUCAGGAGGGCACUGAGAAUCCCCUGUUGCACCCCCAAUCCCAGACCCCCACAGACCACAAGGGGAAGUGGCCAAGGUCAUCACACAGGAAAUUGGCCCCUGAGCAGUCCCUCCAGUGCUUGGCUUGACACCCAAGGGUGUCCAAGGGUGUCUGCGCCCAUGUCUGGUGCUGGGACAGGGCUUGGAGCAGCCAUGGUGGCUGCACCAUCCCUAGGGCACCUCCCAGCCUGACUCCCACCCCAAUGUUUAGCCUGCUGAAGAUGCCCUGGGACCACAUCCAGGAGUUCCUGCAGGUGACCCUGAAGCAGGCCUGGUCACUGAGGGAGGAUGCGGUCAUCAGGCAGCUGCAGGCCUCCAUGCGUGAGCUGGGGAAGCUCCAGUGCCUCCUGCCUCCUGAAGGUGCUGCCUCCCCUGGGUGCUCGUGGGACAGAAGCGGUGACAGCCAUGUCUCACUGGGAAAGGGACAGUGGUCCAGGGUCAGAUGACAAAGGGUGCCCCUGCCACCUCUUUAGAAACUGCAUUCCUGUCCCCGAGGGCCUGAACCAGACCCCAUGUCUGCCCCACAGCCCCAGCUCUCACCCCCAUCAUCUUAGGCUCAGUUCCUUUCCAGCCAUUAGGAGGGACUCAGAUUCAGGUAACUCAGCCAAUGCACUGUUAGGGCCCAUGAGGUCAGGUGGGGUAGGUGACAGGGUCCUGAGUUGGUGCCUCGGUCCCCAGAGAUGAGAGAGUGAGGUGAGGAGGUCAGGGCCAUCCAUGCUUGGGGCUAUGCAGGAGGAGCCGGAGCUGUCCCAGGGCUCCCCUGGCCCAGGCUGCACACACCCUCCCCUCUGGGGCCAGCAGGCCGGAAGAGUCCUCAGCGUCACACAGGGUGAUGGGACCCUGUGUUCAGGUCCCAGAGGCACACCCUGCACUGCAGAUGGUGCCUGUGG